CGUGAUAAGCUGCGAUAAGCUUCGGGGAGUUGCACGUAAACUUUGAUCCGAAGAUUUCCGAAUGAGGAAACUCACUUAGAGUAAUGUCUAAGUAUCAUUAAGUGAAUACAUAGCUUAAUGAGGGGAACUCAGGGAACUGAAACAUCUAAGUACCUGAAGGAAGAGAAAGAAAUUCGAUUCCGUAAGUAGCGGCGAGCGAAAGCGGAUUAGCCCAAACCAAUAAAGUUUUCUUUAUUGGGG
rnacentral:rRNA from 1 species